rnacentral:rRNA from 1 species
CCAGCAGCCGCGGUAAUACGGAGGAUGCAAGCGUUAUCCGGAAUUAUUGGGCGUAAAGCGUCCGCAGGUGGCUCAUCCCAAGUCUGCUGUCAAAGGCAGGGGCUUAACCCCUGAAAGGCAGUGGAAACUGGAGAGCUAGAGUGCAGUAGGGGUAGAGGAUGAAUUCCCGGUGUAGCGGUGAAAUGCGUAGAGAUCGGGAAGAAC